rnacentral:rRNA from 1 species
AUUGAACGCUGGCGGCAGGCUUAACACAUGCAAGUCGAGCGGGGUGAUGGUGCUUGCACUAUCACUUAGCGGCGGACGGGUGAGUAAUGCUUAGGAAUCUGCCUAUUAGUGGGGGACAACAUCUCGAAAGGGAUGCUAAUACCGCAUACGUCCUACGGGAGAAAGCAGGGGAUCUUCGGACCUUGCGCUAAUAGAUGAGCCUAAGUCGGAUUAGCUAGUUGGUGGGGUAAAGGCCUACCAAGGCGACGAUCUGUAGCGGGUCUGAGAGGAUGAUCCGCCACACUGGGACUGAGACACGGCCCAGACUCCUACGGGAGGCAGCAGUGGGGAAUAUUGGACAAUGGGCGCAAGCCUGAUCCAGCCAUGCCGCGUGUGUGAAGAAGGCCUUAUGGUUGUAAAGCACUUUAAGCGAGGAGGAGGCUACUUUAGAUAAUACCUAGAGAUAGUGGACGUUACUCGCAGAAUAAGCACCGGCUAACUACGUGCCAGCAGCCGCAGUAA